GAUUUCAACAUCAUUAGGAGAAGAGAGGAGAAGAAUAAUGAUAACUUUGACGGCAGAUGGUCGUUCAUGUUCAAUACUAUUAUUGAAAGCCUGGAUCUGAGGGAGAUUGAGCUUUCUGGUAGAAAGUUUACCUGGGCUAACUCUUUGCCAAACCCGACGUACGAAAAGCUUGAUCGCGUUCUUGCGAGUGUGGAGUGGGAACAGAAGUUCCCGCUUGUGACGGUUCAAGCUCUUUCGCGGGGUUUCUCCGAUCACACACCACUGUUCGUUGACUCAGGGGAGCCGAAACACGUGGGAAAUAAAAACACAUUUUCUUUUGAGAUGGCCUGGUUCGAACGCGAAGGGUUCCUAGACCUGAUCGCUAGGGAAUGGGCGAAGGGUGUAGGCGGUAGGACCGCGGUCGAGCGUUGGCAAAAUAAGAUUAGGAGUUUGAGAAGUUUCUUACGGGGUUGGGCUAAGCAUCUUAGUGGGGCAUAUAAGGUUGAGAAGGACAGGCUCCUCUCUCUUAUACAGAAUCUGGACGUCAGGGCCGAAUCCACGAUUUUGAUGCCUGCUGAGCUCCAGGUUAAAACUGAAGCAGAGAAGAGGUUGAAAGAACUUCUCCGUGAAGAAGAAUUGAAGUGGGCUUUGCGGGCUAAGGUUCGCAAAGUAGUCCAAGGGGACGCAAAUACUCAAUUCUUUCAUCUGAUUGCUAAUGGUAAGCACAGAAAGAAGAGAAUAUUCCAACUUGAACAAGAUGAGGGCACUAUUUUAGGACAGGAUAACCUAAAAACAUAUAUAACCGAAUAUUAUAGGCAGUUAUUUGGACCUCCGGAGGACAGUUGUGUGUCUCUCGAUGAGUCCAGAAUUGACGAUGUGCCUCAACUUUCGGCUGCUGAAAAUGAUAUUCUGGUUGCCCCGUUUUCGGAGAAGGGGGUGUUUGAUGCUAUAGCACAGUUGAAAAAUAAUAAGGCUCCCGGACCGGAUGGGUUUCCGGUGGAGUUCUACAAGAAGUGUUGGCAUAUUAUUAAGGGGGAUUUGCUACCUAUGUUUCAGGAUCUGUUCUCUGGACAGCUUCAAUUAUUUCAAUUGAAUUUUGGAACUAUCACACUGCUUCCUAAGAAGACGGAUGCUGUGAGAAUUGAGCAGUUCAGGCCCAUCUGCCUACUCAAUGUUAGUUUCAAACUAUUCACCAAGGUCGGGAAUAAUAGGCUCACACAGAUUGCGCAUUCUAUGGUGCAGCACUCCCAAACUGCUUUCAUGCCGGAUAGAAACAUCCUUGAAGGGGUGGUCGUCCUUCAUGAAACGCUCCAUGAAAUCCAUUCCAAGAAGUUAGAUGGAGUCAUUUUUAAGGUGGAUUUCGAGAAAGCGUACGAUAAGGUUAAAUGGCCAUUUCUCCAGCAGGCAUUGCGUAUGAAAGGUUUUGAUGAAGCCUGGCGACGUCAGGUUGAAUCAUUUACGCAAAAAGGGAGUGUGGGAAUUAAAGUGAAUGACGAUAUUGGUCAUUACUUCCAGACACAUAAAGGCCUUAGACAAGGAGAUCCGAUGUCCCCUAUCUUGUUUAACAUUGUGGUUGAUAUGUUAGCUAUCUUGAUAGGAAGGGCUAAGGAGAAUGGUCAAGUGGGUGGCUUG
rnacentral:rRNA from 1 species